GAGAGAAAGAGAGAGAGAGAGAGAGAGAGAGAGAGAGAGAGAGUGAGUACAUGCUGGCUGUCCUGUUUUUCUCUGCCUUAUUCACUUCAGACCACCUCUCACUGAACUUGGAGCUCACUAUUUCUUUGGACGACAAACCCUACUAUUCCUUCUUCCAUCAGAGGUGCUGGUGGGCCCAGGCCCAGUCCUCUGAUAGCGGAACAGUUACCUCAAUCCCUGCAGACCCAGACAACACCAGAACCUUCAGGAAAAGCAAACUACCCAAAGUCUCCAAGCCACACUUGACCUUAAGGUCAAAACACCCAUGGGCCCACAGGCCAGUGAUGGCUGGGAACAGCCUAUGUCUAUAGAAAGCACAGUGUUACCAGCUCUGCAAAUGCAGCAUCACCCAAGAAAGAAUCUAGCUUCUCAGAAUUUGACUCCUCUGCAUGGUACCCCCAACCUGGAGUUGCUCCCCGUCAUCUCAGGCUCUUCUUUUUCCUGUGGUCACCCAGAAAAGCAUUCCUGAUCUUGGCCCGUGUCCUGAGGGGGGCUCUCUUGUACGGCGCCUGCAUAGCACGGACACCACAACCUGACUGCAGGCUUAUUAACCUGCUUCUCACCAGGUUCGCCCUGCUGCAGAGAACAGAACUCCUCCAUCAUCAGCAUCAUCAGCAUCAUCACCAUCAGCAGCAGCAGCAGAAGCAGCUCCUAACACAGUAGCUUAUCUGCAUGUUCACAGGAGAACAGCCUGGAUCUGGGACCUGCCCACCUCUGCUAUGUAAGUGAGUCCUGGCCAUCACAUCGUACUCCUGACCCUGUCUGGGGACCUUUUAAAGUCCCAACUUCAGGAGUAGUUGCAGAGACAGCAGUUUGGGAAACCUGUACAAGACCAUGCCUGAGGCUCUAUCUGUGGCAUCGGAACAAGCAACUAAGCGCACUGGUACACACUCUCCACCUGGAGCCCGGGCCCGAGUGUACUCCUCUCAACUUGGGCAGAGGUAGUAAGCCAUGUUCCCAAGACAAAGGGAGGCCAGGGCCCCUGCUCUAGCUCCUUGCCCAGCAUCUAAGGUCUUCUUAGCAGGGAGGAGGGUGAGUCAUCCGGCUACUCGCAUUCCGCAAGGGGACACUCCCUGAGCGGGUCUGGGAAGCAGUGCUCAGCCACAUCCUCUAGGGCUCACCUCAGCAACCCUGGCUGCAGCAGGAGGGCGAGUGUGCCAGCAGGAAAGGGAAGUCCCACAGCAGGGAUGACAGAGGGCCGCUAGACCUGUGCUCAGUGACCCCAGAAGCUAUCCAAGCUGAGGCAGGACAGCUGGAGCCAGUGUGAGCAGGGAGGCA